GUGCUUGCUUCGGCAGCACAUAUACUAAAAUUGGAAUGAUACAGAGAAGAUUAGCAUGGCCCGUGCGCAAGGAUGACACGCAAAUUCGUGAAGCUUCCAUAU
rnacentral:snRNA from 1 species